rnacentral:rRNA from 1 species
UACGAAGGGGGCUAGCGUUGCUCGGAAUCACUGGGCGUAAAGGGUGCGUAGGCGGGUUUUUAAGUCAGGGGUGAAAUCCUGGAGCUCAACUCCAGAACUGCCUUUGAUACUGAGGAUCUUGAGUCCGGGAGAGGUGAGUGGAACUGCGAGUGUAGAGGUGAAAUUCGUAGAUAUUCGCAAGAACACCAGUGACGAAGGCGGCUCACUGGCCCGGUACUGACGCUGAGGCACGAAAGCGUGGGGAGCAAACAGG